rnacentral:rRNA from 1 species
GAUGAACGCUGGCGGCGUGCCUAAUACAUGCAAGUCGAGCGAACAGACGAGGAGCUUGCUCCUCUGACGUUAGCGGCGGACGGGUGAGUAACACGUGGAUAACCUACCUAUAAGACUGGGAUAACUUCGGGAAACCGGAGCUAAUACCGGAUAAUAUAUUGAACCGCAUGGUUCAAUAGUGAAAGACGGUUUUGCUGUCACUUAUAGAUGUAUCCGCGCCGCAUUAGCUAGUUGGUAAGGUAACGGCUUACCAAGGCAACGAUGCGUAGCCGACCUGAGAGGGUGAUCGGCCACACUGGAACUGAGACACGGUCCAGACUCCUACGGGAGGCAGCAGUAGGGAAUCUUCCGCAAUGGGCGAAAGCCUGACGGAGCAACGCCGCGUGAGUGAUGAAGGUCUUCGGAUCGUAAAACUCUGUUAUUAGGGAAGAACAAAUGUGUAAGUAACUAUGCACGUCUUGACGGUACCGAAUCAGAAAGCCACGGCUAACUACGU